rnacentral:rRNA from 1 species
CAAUAGCGUAUAUUAAAGCUGUUGCGGUUAAAAAGCUCGUAGUUGGAUUUCUGUCAAGGACAACUGGUCCGCCCUCCGGGUGAGCACAUAGUUUGGUCUUGACAUCUUGCUGGAAGCUGUUGCUGCACUUGGCUGUGUGGCGCAGUGUUCAGCACUUUCACUUUGAGGAAAUUGGAGUGUUUCAAGCAGGCACAUGCCUUUGGACACAGUAGCAUGGAAUAAUUAGAUUGGGCUUUUGCUCCAAUUUGUCGGUUUCUGGAGCUGAGGUGAGUAUUAAUGGGGGUUGUUGGGGGCAUCCGAAUUUAGCCGUCAGAGGUGAAAUUCUUGGAUCUGCUAAAGACGGACAACUGCGAAAGCGUUUGCCCAGGAUGUUUUCAUUGA